CAUGGAGGGUGAGAAUCCCGUCCGGCCAACUUUUUGACGCUUUACGAUACACUUUCAAAGAGUCGAGUUGUUUGGGAUUGCAGCUCAAAAUGGGAGGUAAAUUUCUCCUAAGGCUAAAUAUUGGCGAGAGACCGAUAGCGAACAAGUACCGUGAGGGAAAGAUGAAAAGAACUUUGAAAAGAGAGUAAAAUAGUACGUGAAAUUGUUGAAAGGGAAACGAUUGAAGUCAGUCGUACCGACGAUAAAUCAGCUCCUCGAGUGCGGACUUGUGGGCGUGCGUGAGCUUUAAAACCUCGCUGUUUGCAACGUUUGUACUUUUUGGGUGUACUUUUUCGUAUGGUAGGCCAACGUCAGUUUCGAUUACCAUAAAAUGACCGGAGGAAUGUAGCUUCGAUCUCGUAUUGAAGUGUUAUAGCCCCUGGUAGAUGUGGUGACCGAAACUGAGGAUUGCAACGAAUACCCUUUGGGCUAUCAGUCUGAUCUCUGAAAGUUGCUUAGGUGCCGAAAGCAUGCUUACGGUUAUUUAAGUUGACGGUCAAUAGGUUAGAACGUGAUUACAUUCGUUAAGGAUGUUGACGUAAUGG
rnacentral:rRNA from 1 species